UGGUGGCACAAGCAUCAUGAUGUGGGGAUGUUUCUCAUACGAUGGUGUCGGGCCGAUUUAUCGCAUACCAGGGAUCAUGGAUCAGUUUUCAUAUA